rnacentral:rRNA from 1 species
ACGGGUGCGGAACACGUACAGAACCUUCCUUCGAGCGGGGAAUAGCCCAGAGAAAUUUGGAUUAAUACCCCAUAGCAUAACGGAGUGGCAUCACUUUGUUAUUAAAGAUUUAUCACUUGAAGAUGGCUGUGCGGCUGAUUAGAUAGUUGGCGGGGUAACGGCCCACCAAGUCUGCGAUCAGUAACUGGUGUGAGAGCACGACCAGUCACACGGGCACUGAGACACGGGCCCGACUCCUACGGGAGGUAGCAGUAAGGAAUAUUGGUCAAUGGACGAAAGUCUGAACCAGCCAUGCCGCGUGGAGGAUGAAGGCCCUCUGGGUUGUAAACUUCUUUUAUAUGGGACGAAAAAGGACCUUUCUAGGUCAACUGACGGUACCAUGUGAAUAAGCACCGGCUAACUCCGUGCCAGCAGCCGCGGUAAUACGGAGGGUGCAAGCGUUAUCCGGAUUCACUGGGUUUAAAGGGAGCGUAGGUGGGUUGGUAAGUCAGUGGUGAAAUCCCCGAGCUUAACUUGGGAACUGCCAUUGAUACUAUCAGUCUUGAAUACCGUGGAGGUCAGCGGAAUAUGUCAUGUAG